CGGAGGGUGCAAGCGUUGUCCGGAUUUAUUGGGUUUAAAGGGUGCGUAGGCGGCCGUUUAAGUCCGGGGUGAAAGCCCACUGCUCAACAGUGGAACUGCCCUGGAAACUGGACGGCUUGAGUACAGACGAGGGCGGCGGAAUGGAUGGUGUAGCGGUGAAAUGCAUAGAUACCAUCCAGAACCCCGAUUGCGAAGGCAGCUGCCUAGACUGUAACUGACGCUGAGGCACGAAAGCGUGGGGAGCGAACAGGAUU
rnacentral:rRNA from 1 species